UGAUUUUCUUCUGUCACGUAGGCAUGGUCUCUUAAUUCUUCUAUAAUCACUUGCUGUUGUGCACCUUUCCCUGCCUUUACCAGUGUGGUUUUGUAGAGACUGAAUCUCCUUAUACCUCUUCAAAAGCUUAGAAAUGCCACCUUUGAUUAAGUUUCCACCAAUUUUUCUUCUAAUUUCUUUACAACUGUAGCCUUGUUCACUUAAUAAUACUAUUUAACAUUGCUUUCUGGGACACCAGUCAACUCUUUGCACCAUUACUUUAAUUUUAUUAUAUAUAUUCUGUUGUUAUA